CGGGGUGCAGCAGGCGCGAAAACUUUACAAUGCUGGCAACAGCGAUAAGGGGACCUCGAGUGCCAGGAUACAAUCUUGGCUGUCGCGAUGCCUAAAAAGCAUUGCAUAGCAAGGGCCGGGCAAGACCGGUGCCAGCCGCCGCGGUAACACCGGCGGCUCGAGUGGUAACCGCUAUUAUUGGGUCUAAAGGGUCUGUAGCCGGCCGGAUAAGUCUUUUGGGAAAUCCAGCUGCUCAACAGUUGGGCUUUCAGAAGAUACUGUUCGGCUCGAGACCGGGAGAGGUGAGAGGUACUUCAGGGGUAGGGGUGAAAUCUUGUAAUCCUUGAAGGACCACCAGUGGCGAAGGCGUCUCACCAGAACGGAUCUGACGGCAAGGGACGAAAGCUAGGGGCACGAACCGGAUUAGAUACCCGGGUAGUCCUAGCCGUAGACGAUACUCGCUAGGUGUCAGCCACGGUGCGACCGUGGUUGGUGCCGUAGGGAAGCCGUGAAGCGAGCCACCUGGGAAGUACGGCCGCAAGGCUGAAACUUAAAGGAAUUGGCGGGGGAGCACAAGGGCGAAUCGCGG
rnacentral:rRNA from 1 species